GCAAGUCGAACGAAGCUUUCGGGCUUAGUGGCGCACGGGUGCGUAACGCGUAUGCAAUUUACCUUUUACAGGGGGACAACACUAGGAAACUGGUGCUAAUACCGCGUAAUAAAUAGAGAGGCAUCUUUUUAUUUUAAAAGGAUUUCGGUAAGAGAUAAGCAUGCGUCCCAUUAGCUAGUUGGUAAGGUAACGGCUUACCAAGGCCACGAUGGGUAGGGGAACUGAGAGGUUUAUCCCCCACACUGGUACUGAGAUAUGGACCAGACUCCUACGGGAGGCAGCAGUAAGGAAUAUUGGGCAAUGGGCGAGAGCCUGACCCAGCCGUGCCGCGUGCAGGAUGACGCUCCUCGUUGGGUGUAAACUGCUUUUAUUAGGGAAGAACAAGUUUCUGCGGAGACAACUGACGGUACCUAAUGAAUAAGCACCGGCUAACUACGUGCCAGCAGCCGCGGUAAUACGUAGGGUGCAAGCGUUGUCCGGAUUUAUUGGGUUUAAAGGGUGUGUAGGCGGUCUAGUAAGUUUUGGGUGAAAGCCCACCGCUCAACGGUGGAACUGCCUGAGAUACUGCUAGACUUGAGUAUAGUUAAAGUUACUAGAAUUGGUGGUGUAGCGGUGAAAUGCAUAGAUACCACCAGGAAUACCAAUUGCGAAGGCAGGUAACUAGGCUAUAACUGACGCUGAGGCACGAAAGCAUGGGUAGCGAACAGGAUUAGAUACCCUGGUAGUCCAUGCUGUAAACAAUGAGGACUCG
rnacentral:rRNA from 1 species